AGAGUUUGAUCCUGGCUCAGGAUGAACGCUGGCGGCGUGCUUAACACAUGCAAGUCGAACGAUGAAGCCGGAGCUUGCUCUGGUGGAUUAGUGGCGAACGGGUGAGUAACACGUGAGUAACCUGCCCUUGACUCUGGAAUAAGCGUUGGAAACGACGUCUAAUACCGGAUACGAGCUUCAGCCGCAUGGCUAGGAGCUGGAAAGAAUUUCGGUCAAGGAUGGACUCGCGGCCUAUCAGGUAGUUGGUGAGGUAAUAGCUCACCAAGCCUACGACGGGUAGCCGGCCUGAGAGGGUGACCGGCCACACUGGAACUGAGACACGGUCCAGACUCCUACGGGAGGCAGCAGUGGGGAAUAUUGCACAAUGGGCGCAAGCCUGAUGCAGCAACGCCGCGUGAGGGACGACGGCCUUCGGGUUGUAAACCUCUUUUAGUAGGGAAGAAGCGAAAGUGACGGUACCUGCAGAAAAAGCACCGGCUAACUACGUGCCAGCAGCCGCGGUAAUACGUAGGGUGCAAGCGUUAUCCGGAAUUAUUGGGCGUAAAGAGCUCGUAGGCGGUUUGUCGCGUCUGCUGUGAAAACUGGGGGCUCAACCCCCAGCCUGCAGUGGGUACGGGCAGACUAGAGUGCGGUAGGGGAGAUUGGAAUUCCUGGUGUAGCGGUGGAAUGCGCAGAUAUCAGGAGGAACACCAAUGGCGAAGGCAGAUCUCUGGGCCGUUACUGACGCUGAGGAGCGAAAGCAUGGGGAGCGAACAGGAUUAGAUACCCUGGUAGUCCAUGCCGUAAACGUUGGGAACUAGAUGUAGGGGCCAUUCCACGGUUUCUGUGUCGCAGCUAACGCAUUAAGUUCCCCGCCUGGGGAGUACGGCCGCAAGGCUAAAACUCAAAGGAAUUGACGGGGGCCCGCACAAGCGGCGGAGCAUGCGGAUUAAUUCGAUGCAACGCGAAGAACCUUACCAAGACUUGACAUAUACGAGAACGGGCUAGAAAUAGUUCACUCUUUGGACACUCGUAAACAGGUGGUGCAUCGUUGUCGUCAGCUCGUGUCGUGAGAUGUUGG
rnacentral:rRNA from 1 species